GGACCUAUAGUUUAGCUUGGAUAGAAUACCGGGCUUCGGACCCGGGGAGGGGGGUUCAAAUCCUCCUAGGUCCA
rnacentral:tRNA from 1 species